CCUACGGGUGGCAGCAGUGAGGGAUAUUGGUCAAUGGGGGAAACUCUGAACCAGCCACGCCGCGUGAGGGAAGACGGUUUUCGGAUUGUAAACCUCUGUCCUCUGUGAAGAUAAUGACGGUAGCAGAGGAGGAAGCUCCGGCUAACUACGUGCCAGCAGCCGCGGUAAUACGUGGGGAGCACGCGUUUGCCGGAUUUACUGGGUGUAAAGGUCGAGUAGGCUGCUUUGCAAGUCAGAGGUGAAAGCCAUGGGCGUAACCCUUGAACUGCUUUUGAAACUGCAGGGCUUGAGUGGAGUAGGGGUAGGCGGAAUGCACGGGGUAGCGGUGAAAUGCGUAGAGAUCGGGAGGAACACCAGGGGCGAAGGCGACCUACUGGGCUCUAACUGACGCUGAGGCUCGAAAGCGUGGGUAGCAAACAGGAUUAGAUACCCGAGUAGUC
rnacentral:rRNA from 1 species